rnacentral:rRNA from 1 species
AUUGAACGCUGGCGGCAUGCUUUACACAUGCAAGUCGAACGGUAACAGGUUAAGCUGACGAGUGGCGAACGGGUGAGUAAUGCAUCGGAACGUGCCCGAUCGUGGGGGAUAACGCAGCGAAAGCUGCGCUAAUACCGCAUACGAUCUGAGGAUGAAAGCGGGGGACCGUAAGGCCUCGCGCGAUCGGAGCGGCCGAUGUCAGAUGAGGUAGUUGGUGGAGUAAAGGCCCACCAAGCCGACGAUCUGUAGCUGGUCUGAGAGGACGACCAGCCACACUGGGACUGAGACACGGCCCAGACUCCUACGGGAGGCAGCAGUGGGGAAUUUUGGACAAUGGGCGAAAGCCUGAUCCAGCAAUGCCGCGUGCAGGAAGAAGGCCUUCGGGUUGUAAACUGCUUUUGUACGGAGCGAAAAGGUCCUUUCUAAUACAAGGGGCUCAUGACGGUACCGUAAGAAUAAGCACCGGCUAACUACGUGCCAGCAGCCGCGGUAACAC